AUGGCAAACAGCAGAGUGGCCAGACCAGCUCCAGCCCGAAAAGGGUCACGACCAGACACCAAGUGCUCCUGUCUCGAUGUCGUCGGGCGGCAUGUGCAAGAUGUAGAAUGGAACAGGUGUGGUGCCCAUAGGUCAUUUUCAUACCAUAUGCACUCAGGGCCAUGGGGCAUGAUGUUACCAAAAGUGUCACAUCCCAACACUUUACUCUCUCUUUCUGUCUCUAUAACACACACAAACAGACUGCAUUUUCAAUAUUUGCUUUAUUAUUAUUAUUAUUAUUAUUAUUAUUAUUAUUUUUUUAUUCAUUAUUCAUAAAUAUAAUAAUAAGCACAAUAAUUACAACCAUUAUCAUUAAAAUUAAAUAUAAAAAUAAUAAGUAUUAUUAUUAUUGUUAUUAAAAAUAACAAAAUAGUUUUUAUUAUUCG
rnacentral:lncRNA from 1 species